CAGUCGCCGCGGGAACACGUAGGGUGCGAGCGUUAAUCGGAAUUACUGGGCGUAAAGCGUGCGCAGGCGGUUCGUUAAGACAGAUGUGAAAUCCCCGGGCUUAACCUGGGAACUGCAUUUGUGACUGGCGAGCUAGAGUAUGGCAGAGGGGGGUAGAAUUCCACGUGUAGCAGUGAAAUGCGUAGAGAUGUGGAGGAAUACCGAUGGCGAAGGCAGCCCCCUGGGCCAAUACUGACGCUCAUGCACGAAAGCGUGGGGAGCAAACAGGAUUAGAUACCCCGGUAGUCCCUGUCUCUUAUAC
rnacentral:rRNA from 1 species